rnacentral:rRNA from 1 species
AUUAAACCGCACGCCGCACCCCUUGUAGUGCUCCCCCGCCAAUUCCUUUAAGUUUCAGCCUUGCGACCAUACUCCCCAGGUGGCGAGCUUGCACCUUCGUUAUGAUACGACAGAAACACUAAGUUUGUGUCAUAUCUAGCUCGCAGUGUUUACGGCUAGGACUACACGGGUAUCUAAUCCGUUUUGCUCCCCUAGCUUUCGUCCCUCACAGUCGAAUUUGUUCUAGUAUGCCCCCUCCGGCACAGGUAGUCUUCUUGGGAUUAUAACAUUUUACCGCUCCCCCAAAAAUACUGCAUACUCCUCCCAAUUCCAAGUUCUACAGUGUUUUUUGCGAAUGUUGCGUUAAGCACAACAAUUUUACAAAAAAUUUAUAGAACCUGCUACGGACGCUUUAGACCGAAUAAACGUGAUCCCCACUUGUGGCGCUGGGGUUACCGCGGCGGCUGGCACCAGUCUUACCCACCACUUAUUCUCCAAAGUAUUUACCUUUGGCAAAAGCCUAUGUAAAACAUAAGCACUUAGGAUUCCCUUCUCACGCUUGCGCACAUUGGAAAGGUUUCGCGCCUGCUGCACCCCGUAGGGCUGGGACCAGUAUCUCAGUGUCCCUCUCCGGGCUAUCUCUUUCAAGACCCGUAUCGAUCUCAGGUAUGGUGGUCCAUUACACCGCCAUCUGCCUAAUCGAGUGCCGUCUCAUCCUUAAGUGAUUGCUCUUUAAGAAAAAAUUCAUUCCAGAAUUUUUUUCCUAUCGGACAUUAACCUCAGUUUCCCAAGGGUAUUUCCGUCUUAAGGGCAGAUUAACGACAUGUUACUGAGCAGUUUGCCUCUCUUGCGAGAUGACUUGCAUGGCUUAGUCGAAUCCUAAUAGCAGCGAUCUCCGGCAGGAUCAACCGGAA